AGGUGCGAUCAUACCUGCACUAAUGCACCGGAUCGCAUCAGCACUCCACUGUUAAGCGUGCUUGGGCGAGAGUAGUACUAGGAUAGGAGACCUCCUGGGAAGUCCUCGUGUUACACCUC
rfam:Lupinus angustifolius cultivar Tanjil contig_22495, whole genome shotgun sequence.